GACGAACGCUGGCGGCGUGCCUAAUACAUGCAAGUAGAACGCUGAAGAGAGGAGCUUGCUCUUCUUGGAUGAGUUGCGAACGGGUGAGUAACGCGUAGGUAACCUGCCUUGUAGCGGGGGAUAACUAUUGGAAACGAUAGCUAAUACCGCAUAACAAUGGAUGACACACGUCAUUUAUUUGAAAGGGGCAAUUGCUCCACUACAAGAUGGACCUGCGUUGUAUUAGCUAGUAGGUGAGGUAACGGCUCACCUAGGCGACGAUACAUAGCCGACCUGAGAGGGUGAUCGGCCACACUGGGACUGAGACACGGCCCAGACUCCUACGGGAGGCAGCAGUAGGGAAUCUUCGGCAAUGGGGGCAACCCUGACCGAGCAACGCCGCGUGAGUGAAGAAGGUUGUCGGAUCGUAAAGCUCUGUUGUAAGUCAAGAACGAGUGUGAGAGUGGAAAGUUCACACUGUGACGGUAGCUUACCAGAAAGGGACGGCUAACUACGUG
rnacentral:rRNA from 1 species